rnacentral:misc_RNA from 1 species
UUAAGUUUAGCGGGUAGCCCUACCCGAUCCGAGGUCGACCUAGAGAGAUGUGUUCGAGGCGGGCCGCGCCGGGAGACCAAUGCGAGCGUUGUUACUGCGCAGGGGACGUCGCCGGUGCUGCCGCCGCUGGACUGCGGGCCGCGCGGCGCCCUGAGGGGCGGCACGCGCUGGCCCAAUGCCGGGGCCUCUGCCCUGCAGGC